GUUUCAAACCAGUAAGAAUGAAUUUUAAAAUCUGCUACAAUAGCGUCAUCUGCUUUUCAAGUUUGUUUUUCGUGAGGCCCAUGCAUUUGUUUCUGUAUGUAUGUACAUCCUCUAUCAAUAGGAAUGACGUCGUUCCGACAGUCGGGUCUACGUAACCGGAACGAACCCGGAUUUUUAUCUGCCCAAGGACUGUCAACUCGGCAGAAUUCUGCCGCUAAAACCACACAACAACAGGGAUGACGUGACUUCGACAGCUCGUGGCGGCCAUGAUUGUUUACGGAUUUAUGUAAAAUUUUGUCAGUGUGUUCAGCAGGGUUUGCCAUUUCAUCAUGACGAAGUGAAACUUUGGAAAAACUCUUGGAAAUUGUCCAAUAUUUUUACGCAAAUACAUGUUCUCUGGUGGCCACUGUAGAGCUCUUCGCGCAAAACACGGUCUCUAAGAUGAGGCCCAUUUCCGGCUUAAUGGCUUCGUCAACAAAGAAAAUUGUCGCUAUUGGGCAUAUUACAGGUAUUGCUUUCUGUGAACUUAUUAUACUUGAACUGAAAUGCGAGAUAUCAGGAAGUUGCUGCAGAGGCACUAGCGAAAACUACCAACAAUAACUACAUAUACAAAUUUAAUGGCCAUUGCCCGAUCGUAAUACCGCCUCUAUCCCGCCGCCGCUAGCAAACCACGAGCAAGCAGCGUCACCACCAACGCAAUACAGUUUUCACCUUCAAUUUAACUGUUUUUACGAGUUGAUCCCGACUUUACUGCAAUUCGCUGCGCGCCCUCUAUUUAGCAUGGUAUUCACUGUGAAAUGUAAUUGUAUGUAUUUCUUCAAAAUACUUGUCGUGAUCAACAGACAACAGUGUUCAAAAAAAGGUACGAAUGAAAUAAAAAAAAACACAAAACACAAAACAAAAAAAAAAAAAAAUAGCGAAAAUACACCACUCUUACUAAAGGCCAUGAUAUUGGCAGUCACAAA